CUACGUGCCAGCAGCCGCGGUAAUACGGAAGGUCCAGGCGUUAUCCGGAUUUAUUGGGUUUAAAGGGAGCGUAGGCCGGAGAUUAAGUGUGUUGUGAAAUGUAGACGCUCAACGUCUGACUUGCAGCGCAUACUGGUUUCCUUGAGUACGCACAACGUUGGCGGAAUUCGUCGUGCAGCGGUGAAAUGCUUAGAUAUGACGAAGAACUCCGAUUGCGAAGGCAGCUGACGGGAGCGCAACUGACGCUUAAGCUCGAAGGUGCGGGUAUCAAACAGGAUUAGAUACCCUGGUAGUCCGCACAGUAAACGAUGGAUGCCCGCUGUUGGUACCUGGUAUCAGCGGCUAAGCGAAAGCAUUAAGCAUCCCACCUGGGGAGUACGCCGGCAACGGUGAAACUCAAAGGAAUUGACGGGGGCCCGCACAAGCGGAGGAACAUGUGGUUUAAUUCGAUGAUACGCGAGGAACCUUACCCGGGCUUGAA
rnacentral:rRNA from 1 species